CAAUAGUGUAUCUUAAUGUUGUUGCUGUUAAAAAGCUCGUAGUUGAAUUUCUGGCUACUUAGCCUUGACUUCUGUCUGGCAGGGUAGUCAUCCGCUCUCAAAACUCGUACGGUUUUUACCUGCGUGUAGAAGGGGUAUUUUACUUUGAAGAAAUUAGAGUGUUCCAGGCAAGCUUUGCUUGAAUAUUACAGCAUGGAAUAAUGGAAAAGGACUAUCCAUUUCGUUGGUUAAUGUGAUGGUAAUGAUUAACAGGGACAGUUGGGGGCAUUCGUACUGGGCAGUUAGUGGUAAAAUACGUUGACCUGCUCAAGACGCACUAAUGCGAAAGCAUUUGCCAAGGAUGUUUUCAUUAA
rnacentral:rRNA from 1 species